UAAAGUGCUGACAGUGCAGAUAGUGAUCCUCUCCGUGCUACCGCACUGUGGGUACUUGCUGC
rnacentral:pre_miRNA from 1 species